rnacentral:lncRNA from 1 species
AUGUUCUACAGCUGUCCUCCUAGACCAGACCAAAAUUCUGCAUCUGUCCUCCUAGACCAGACCAAGGUUCUGCAUCUGUCCUCCCAGACCAAGACCAGACCAAGGUUCUACAUCUGUCCUCCUAGACCAGACCAAGGCUCUACAUCUGUCCUGCUAGACCAGACCAAGGUUCUGCAUCUGUCCUCCCAGACCAAGGUUCUACAUCUGUCCUCCUAGACAAGACCAAGGAUCUGGUCUCCAAGACCUUAGUGCUACUUUUGAACCAUCGAUCACCACAUUCUUCUGGAGAGAUUAGAAACUCUAAUUGGUCUACAUGGACAAGUUCUUGCCUGGUUAAGAUCUGUCAGAAAGACAUCAGUUAGUCUCUGUGGAUGGUUUGUCCUCUGAAAAAUCUAAGGUAAAUGUUGGUGUUCCUCAAGGUUCACUAUUGUUUUCACUAUAUAAAUAUAUAUUAUACCUCUUGGUCCAGCUUUCGCUCCAGAGACUAUGUCCAGCUUUCGCUCCAGAAAGCACGGGCUUAUCUGAACUCUGCUGACCUCUCCCCCCCUCCUAUCUGACCUCCAGGCCCCCCACUGACUACUGACCUCUCCUAUCUGACCUCUGCUGACCUCUCCCCCACUCUUAUCUGGCCUCCAAGCCCCCCACUGACUGCUGACCUCUCCCCCACUCCUAUCUGACCUCUCCCCCACUCCUAUCUGACCUCCAGGCCCCCCACUGACUGCUGACCUCUCCUAUCUGACCUCUGCUGACCUCUCCCCCACUCCUAUCUGACCUCCAGGCCCCCCACUGACUGCUGACCUCUCCCCCACUCCUAUCUGACCUCUCCCCCACUCCUAUCUGACCUCCAGGCCCCCCACUGACUGCUGACCUCUCCCCCACUCCUAUCUGACCUCCAGGCCCCCCACUGACUGCUGACCUCUCCCCCACUCCUAUCUGACCUCCAGGCCCCCCACUGACUGCUGACCUUACCUCCACACACAUUGGCCUUCUCACUGGGGCCACUCCACUUUGUCCAUCUCCACAGCUUAAGUACAGACCUCCAGGCAUCCACACCUACUCUCCUUACCCAGGCAACACCCAUGGGCUGGGGCUCAGCAGUCUCCAUAACCAGCCAAACCGGGGAACCCACACUUUAGCACCGCUCUCUCUGCGUUAUGCGGAAGACGAUGGAAGAUAUAUUAAUGGGAUCUCUAUCAGAGCUCUGGCCCGGCUGGGGUCAUGAGGUAGACAAUGGAAGAGAUCAUAAAGGAAUUGCGUUGGAAUCGAGUGAUUCAUGUGAUCCGCGACAGUGCCACGAUC